CUGUCUCCUCGGGGUUUUCCGAGUCCAGAGAUUAGCGCCACCUGAGCAGGUUGACCGUUCCUCCCGCCCCCCUCCCGAGGAGGCCUUGGUCCCCAGAGACCACUCCUCCCUCAGCCACUCUCUGCAGCCCCUCCUGCUGGACAGCUCACCGGAGACUUUGGGUGCCCGUCAUUUGCGUGUGCGCUCAUGUCACAGGCUCCGUUGAGGAGGUGGAACUGCUGUAUUUGUGUUAACAGAUGAACUGCAUCCCCAGAACCCCUCUCUGAGACCACACCUCGCCACGGCUUUGUGACAAGAGGCGUGCCAUCUGGGAAUCCCUGGUUAUUUCCUUAACAAGCGUAUUGUCACCGGGGGCACCUAGCAGACACCCUCCCUGUGGAUCUGGAGUCACACGUCACCUGCGGGUGGGCAAAGGUGGUGGCCAACGCACUGGUCAGAAGCCGAGUCUGAGGCGAGCGCCUGCGUUCCUGUUAGAGGGCAUCUGUUCGCCUCCUAAUUCGGCGAAAGUGACCAUUCACUCGCGGUACACAGACAAUUCCACUUCUAAGGUGAAACAGCUUGAAAGAGCAUAUUAAAAUCAGUCUCCAGUGUUUUCAACGCUGCCUGGCCAGGAGUCCCUGGUGGAAGGCGAACCGCCCGGCCCCACCCUGACACGGACCCAUGAAGGCUCAGAGGGCCUGAGUCUGCGGCGGAGCCAGCUUCCCAGCUCCCAGACAGGCCUGGGUGAUGUCCUCGCUGGGCGCCACCUGCCUCUCCCCUGGAAAAUGCCGCUAAUUAGAAGCUCUCAGAAAAAUGGAAAUAAAGGGAGGGCAGGGAGGAGGGGGCUGGGGGUCUGUCCUGAGAGCCCACGCUCCUGCCCAGGGCCGCCUGGCGCCCCCCAGAGGUCCUCCUCCCAGCUCCGCUGGCCUGCGCAGGGCGUGUCCUCCGCUGCAUGGACUCCGGGCAGAGCCAGGGAUGAAGCUGUGUUCUGAGGUCAAGAGUGCUCCCUGGGAGCAGCUUGUCCUGCAGGGCAGGGUGGCCGUGGAAAAGACAAAUGGAAGAGUGCUUCUUGUGUCCAUCUCGAGGCGUUGUCUCCCCACCUCCCUUACAGCUGGUCCAGAGCGCGGAGCCACAGUAAGAUGCCACCAGAAACGUCCCUCGUUUGAUGACAACUCUGGAGUCAUCCCAACGUUCCCUCUAUAAGAGGGAUGGGCAGACACCAACGUGUGCUCAUCACGAGCUUCCAAGAUGGCCUGUCCCUAACACAGGGCUGCCAGCUUUUCAGAGAGUCACAUUCGCCUUUUUGGCACCUUAAGCCCCAGCAAGACAUGGGGCAGUGAGGGGGUACUUGCAGGGUCUGAGGUCUGCCCCCCCAGGCCAACCUCCAGGCCUGAGGGCGUCUUUUGUUUCUGUGCCAGAACAUGCUUCACACAGCGCCCGGACAGUCCCCGGGAGGCGCUUCCUGAAGCAAGGCCCCUGGCACCAUCAGGCACGUCGUAAUGCAUGGAGAGAGCCAGGCGGCCAGUCCCUCCAAGCCCCAGGGGACUACAUUCUACUCCUCAGGCUCUAGCACGUGGUCAGCAAGAACCUUCAGCAGUUCGCCCUCAGACACGACCUGGAGCAUCCUUCCACCCUGAACUUGGACUGUGCAUCCAGCACACCAGACACAGACGCCUGCCUGGGCAGCUCCGGCCCACCUUGCCGCGUCACCGCGCCCACAGUGACUCCUCCUGGCGUUCCUCACUUGCACUGCCGAGGUCAGCACCGGGUGCCACCCAGAGCACAUCCUCCGUAGUUGCCUCACACAGACCCCCAGGGGCAGCCAUGGGGCCAGGCUCCACCGCCUGCCAGGCCUCCGACUCCUGCUCGCCGGCAAGGUGCCCUUCCGGGAACGCCCACCCUCACGGAAGUCCAGACCCAAUGCCUCACAGAAGGGACAGUCAAGGGAGACCUGUGGCUACUGACGCUGGACAGAGCAGCACUUCUCACCUCUCGAUGGUUGCUGUCACCCUACAGGGCGGUCUCCAGGAAGUCUUAGUACUAGCUACAAGCAGCCCUCGUGACAGUAACCGGGACUGAUUUUGAGUAUGGCUUUGAAGAGUAGUUUGGGAGGUUUCUUCCUGUGACAGAAUUCAUGCCUGUGGCGUGAACGAUGGUGCCCAUGUCUCCUCUCCAUUCGCCACGUGUCCAGCAUGGCAGAGCCCAGGGGUAAGUGCCCACGGCGGACCAGGCAGGCUUGCUGCCACCCAGAGGCAAGCUUGCAGGUCACUAUGCACCUGCCUUGGUCGCCUGGAAAUCGGACGACUUGAGCAAGGGCUGUGCAGGGCACAAGGAGGCAGGAAGCAGUGCGUCAAACACCCACUACUGUGCAGCCGCGCAUGGCCACUGGGUGGUCGGGUGUUUUCCAAUGCACUAAGACUUAGGAUGAGUCUGUGCUGAAAAAUGGUGAAUUCUCCUUCUCCCGAGGUUAGAAGAAAUAGUCAUUUAAUGCUGCCCAAGCGAGUCUGCAGAUCAUGGAUGUUUUCACUCACGAGCCUGCACAGAAGCCACCACAAACUCAAGAACAGGCGUGGCGGGCGCUGCGAGGCGGUGGAGGUGUUGCACCAGCCAUGGGAAGUUCUGGAGACCUUCCUGCCCGCUGUAGGUCGUCUGUGCUGAGGCGCGGAACUACCCUGGCCCCAGGCCCAGCCCCGCGUGGGCUCCCGAGGCUGCUCCCCGCUCUGGAGCGGGUUGCAGGUUCCGCACAGAGAAGCAGCCCACACAUCCUCAGUGUGAGUCAGCAGCUGAUCUUCCAGGGACAGUCGGAGAGGCUACAGCCUCUGGAGAGAGACGCAGGAGCCAGCCAUCUCGCCAGCACACCAUCUCCCGCUGCGGCCUUUCCUGCAGGAUGUUCCAGCACUGUAAAUGUUCAUUCUCCCCGUCACCCUCCUCCCUCCACGUGAGCACAGGACACAGAGGGUGUCCCCAACCCCACAGGCUGUGUGUCUCAGGACGCCUUUCCUGUGUGGUCACUUCCACCACCAAUCACUCCCACCUCUCCAUGAUUCACAUGUUACUGAGCUCAGGAAGGACCCCAUCCCUUUGGUCCUUUCUCCUUCACAUUCCUAGAGAGUCGCUAAACCUUCCUGGGCCUCCCCAUGUCGCUCCCGCUUUGUACAUGGUAACUGGCCAAGAUUAGAAAAUUCAGGUCCAUGAAAAUAAGGGCGAGCCACUCAUAAGCCCACAACCAAUCAUAUUGCCAUGGAUAUUUGGGGCAUGUCUGCCCUGAGGAUUUUCUAAGUGCAUGGGAUGGUGUGUCUCCUUGUCCUUUAAUACCUGCUCACGUUGGUUAAUGUCAUCAGGGUAACGCAUUAUAUGUGACAAUUUAAAUACCCAUCAUUAUCUCCAACAGUUGAAGACUAAUUUUUUCGUACUAGGAUUUAAACUCAGGGGCACUCAACCACUGAGCCACAUCCCAGCCCUAUUCUGUAUUUUAUUUAGAGGCAGGGUCUCACUGAGUUGCUUAGGUCCUUUUUGCUGAGGCUGGCUUUGAACUCCCGAUCCUCCUGUCUCAGCCUCCCGAGCUGCUGGGAUUACAGGCAUGUGCCACAGCACCCGACAACUGAAGACUACUUUACUGCACGGCUGUGCGUGAUGACGUUAACUGAAUCCCAAUACCUGAACACUGAAGUUCUUCCAAGACCCUCUCCUUGAACAAUCCCAGAAAGCUCUGGACACAUAUUAAAUGUUGCUUGUUGUUUUUC